GGAAAUUUUAUUGGUGCUUGCACCUUUAAAAUUUUAGCGGCGGACGGGUGAGUAACACGUGGGUAACCUACCUUAUAGAUUGGGAUAACUCCGGGAAACCGGGGCUAAUACCGAAUAAUACUUUUUAACACAUGUUUUGAAGUUGAAAGACGGUUUCGGCUGUCACUAUAAGAUGGACCCGCGGCGCAUUAGCUAGUUGGUGAGGUAACGGCUCACCAAGGCAACGAUGCGUAGCCGACCUGAGAGGGUGAUCGGCCACACUGGGACUGAGACACGGCCCAGACUCCUACGGGAGGCAGCAGUAGGGAAUCUUCCACAAUGGACGAAAGUCUGAUGGAGCAACGCCGCGUGAGUGAAGAAGGAUUUCGGUUCGUAAAACUCUGUUGCAAGGGAAGAACAGUA
rnacentral:rRNA from 1 species